rnacentral:rRNA from 1 species
UACGUAGGGUGCGAGCGUUUAAUCGGAAUUACUGGGCGUAAAGCGUGCGCAGGCGGUUGGCAAAGUCAGCUGUGAAAGCCCCCGGGCUUAACCUGGGAAUGGCGGUUGAAACUAGUCGACUCGAAUCUGGCAGAGGGGGGUGGAAUUCCACGUGUAGCAGUGAAAUGCGUAGAGAUGUGGAGGAACACCGAUGGCGAAGGCAGCCCCCUGGGCUGAGAUUGACGCUCAGGCACGAAAGCGUGGGGAGCAAACAG